rnacentral:rRNA from 1 species
GUCCAUGCCGUAAACGAUGUCUACUAGCCGUUGGGGCCUUUGAGGCUUUAGUGGCGCAGCUAACGCGAUAAGUAGACCGCCUGGGGAGUACGGUCGCAAGACUAAAACUCAAAUGAAUUGACGGGGGCCCGCACAAGCGGUGGAGCAUGUGGUUUAAUUCGAUGCAACGCGAAGAACCUUACCUGGUCUUGACAUAUACAGGAAUAUGGCAGAGAUGUCAUAGCCGCAAGGUCUGUAUACAGGUGGUGCAUGGUUGUCGU